ACUCCUACGGGAGGCAGCAGUGGGGAAUAUUGCACAAUGGGCGCAAGCCUGAUGCAGCCAUGCCGCGUGUAUGAAGAAGGCCUUCGGUUGUAAGUACUUUCAGCAGUGAGGAAGGCGGAGUCGUUAAUAGCGGCCUCGUUUGACGUUAGCUGCAGAAGAAGCACCGGCUAACUCCGUGCCAGCAGCCGCGGUAAUACGGAGGGUGCGAGCGUUAAUCGGAAUUACUGGGCGUAAAGCGCAUGCAGGUGGUUUGUUAAGUCAGAUGUGAAAGCCCGGGGCUCAACCUCGGAAUUGCAUUUGAAACUGGCAGACUAGAGUACUGUAGAGGGGGGUAGAAUUUCAGGUGUAGCGGUGAAAUGCGUAGAGAUCUGAAGGAAU
rnacentral:rRNA from 1 species